rnacentral:rRNA from 1 species
AUUGAACGCUGGCGGCAGGCCUAACACAUGCAAGUCGAACGAGUGGCGGACGGGUGAGUAAUGUCUGGGAAACUGCCCGAUGGAGGGGGAUAACUACUGGAAACGGUAGCUAAUACCGCAUACCAUCGGAUGUGCCCAGAUGGGAUUUGCUCGUAGGUGGGGUAACGGCUCACAUAGGCGACGAUCCCUCUCUGGUCUGAGAGGAUGAGCAGCCACACUGGAACUGAGAAACGGUCUAGACUCAUACGGGAGGCAGCAGGGGGGAAUAUUGCACAAGGGGAGCAAGCCUGAUGCAGCCAUGCCGCGUGUAUGAAGAAGGCCUUCGGGUUGUAAAGUACUUUCAGCGAGGAGGCGUUACUCGAAGAAGAAGCACCGGCUAACUCCGUGCCAGCAGCCGCGGUAAUAC